AGAAGAAACGCCAUGCAACACAGAGGUGGAAGAGAUUGAACUUCACUGAGUUCAACCCCAUUAGUUUGCACUAUAAAGAUCAAUGUUUUAUCAGGGAUCGUAUCAAUAUUAUAUCAGCCUAUUUUCAAUGCAACAAAACAUAACAAAUCAAAUUUUCCAAGAUUGAGUCUGUGAUUUUGUUGUUGGCAGAGCCACAGCACAACGGAGUAGAAUUUAAUUGGCAGGGGUUGCGCAAGACUGGUCUUUCAAUCACCCAGGAGUGAACGCGCUUUUCACAUCAGUUCAGAUCAGAGCGGCUCGUGGGCACAUUUGUUGAUAUUCUUUGCUAGUUGACGAGUAAUUAGCCCAGUUCUACAUUAAUAUGGGUAUAGGAGCACAAAACGAGGAGCCAACACUUCAAGCUGUCUUUGAAAAGCCAGACAGAUGUGAUGGUCCAAGGUCCCUCCCCUGGGAUUGUAUUAUCCAAUGUCUUGAGACAGAGUCUGUACUACAGAGUCUGAGUCUGAACUCACCUCUAUGGACACCACAAUCGAUGGGGACGCAGAGCAGUACCAUUCUGCUCAUCUGAUGAAGGUGCACAUGAAUCAGUAUCACUCAUUAUUUGCAGAAACAGAUACUGGUAUUUUUUAUUUAACUAGGCAAGUCAUUUAAGAACAAAUUCUUAUUUACAAUGAUGUCCUAGGAACAGUGGGUUAACUGCCUUGUUCAGGGGCAGAACAACAGAUGUUUACCUUGUCAGCUCAGGGAUUUGAUUCAACAACCUUCCGGUUACUGGCCCAAUGCUCUAACCACUAGACGACAUGCCGCCCCAACUGGGAUGGAUCCCGAGGCAAAUGUGGCUGACCAG